ACUCCGAAACAUCAUAAAGUUGAGGUUUUUAAAUUAGUUUAAGGAAAAAAUAUUGAAAAGAGAAAUGGCAAUGAGUCAAUUCCAAAAAUGUUUUGUGAUGAUCUUGAUGAUGAUGAUAUUUACAAUACAAAUUGAGGGCAUCACACAAUCUCAAGACAUUAAGCCAAACAAGCUCUCAAAAAUUUUAUGUAAAAUAAAGUGUAACUUUAUGGAGUGUAUGGUAUACGCAGGUGAUGAAAUGUAUAGAUGCAUACACGAUUGUUAUAAAAAAUGUUAGCAACAACACUAUUAUGAUUCUUCGCAUAAGCAAUGGUGUUCGUGCUUUAGGUGCAUACCUGGUGCUUACAUACAUUUCUUUAAAGUUGAAGAGUUGCAAUAAUUAAUAAUGAGUAAUUCAUAUGUUUUAUGAAAUGUUAUUCAAUAAACUAUAUUCAUAAAUAUUGACAUUGUGUCAAACUUAAAUAAAUUUAUUUUAACAAA